rnacentral:piRNA from 1 species
UGACAAUGCUGUGUGUUGUUGUUGAUGA